CCCAGUGUGGUGUAGUUGGGAGCGCGGCUACUCAUGGCCUCUAGAGCGGGGUUGAGUGUGGCAGGUCUGGGUUCGAUUCCCAGCACUGGGG